ACGGCCUCUUCGAAGAUCUUUAGCACCUUUUCUACGUGGUCUAAAGAUUCAAAGCGAAGCCAAUAUCAAUGACCCAUUGUACUCCUGAAGGCUAUCUAUAAAAGUUUGCGCCUUUGCACGAUUCGGCCCACCGUAUCGGUCUUGGAGACGAAUGGCACAUCU
rnacentral:snoRNA from 1 species